UCUGCGUGUGAAGGUCUCCAGACCAUGUUCUAAACAUAGCCAUACGGAGAAAUACAGAGAGAAUUUUGUGGAGCGGAUAGUCUUUAUUAGCUUUGUAUUAACUCAUUUGGCAAGAGCUUGAAUGUAACGGACGUUCAUUAAUAUAAGGUACAAUAAUGACUCACUAAAGC